rnacentral:rRNA from 1 species
UGGGGAAUAUUGCACAAUGGGCGCAAGCCUGAUGCAGCUAUGCCGCGUGUGUGAAGAAGGCCUUCGGGUUGUAAAGCACUUUCAGCGAGGAGGAAAGGUAAUGUACUAAUAAAACAUUACAUUGACGUUACUUGCAGAAGAAGCACCGGCUAACUCCGUGCCAGCAGCCGCGGUAAUACGGAGGGUGCAAGCGUUAAUCGGAAUUACUGGGCGUAAAGCGUACGCAGGCGGUUUGUUAAGUCAGAUGUGAAAUCCCCGCGCUCAACGUGGGAACGGCAUUUGAGACUGGCAAGCUAGAGUCUUGUAGAGGGGGGUAGAAUUCCAGGUGUAGCGGUGAAAUGCGUAGAGAUCUGGAGGAAUACCAGUGGCGAAGGCGGCCCCCCGGACAAAGACUGACGCUCAGGUGCGAAAGCGUGGGGAGCAAACAGG